GUAAAAGAUUAGGAGAAGUCUUUGCUCUAAACCAGGUAAUUCCACACUGGCCUGCUCUUUGUUUAGCAGCUGUUAUGCCACCCUCCAUUCAUUCUGGCAGUUGGCACAGUGCAGAUAAUGAUGAGGCCUGCUUGAGUUCUUGUGUCUUGGCUGCACACGUGAAACUCCUCGUUCUGCUGAGAGGAAUUUAACUUUCUGUUCUUCCUUCCCUCCAUGAUUGAGAUUAGCCCGGGUGGAGGUUGCUGUGUUCUGGUGAAUAAUCCUUUUCCUCUACAUCAUGGACAAAUACUGGCUGCAAGACAAAGAGCUGGAAGUGAGUGUGAGCAGAUUUAUAAAGUUGUGGUAGGGGAAGGGGAAUAUAGCAGAAUUAGGAGGGGACAAAGUAUUGGAAAAUCAGAAUACAU